ACUCCUACGGGAGGCAGCAGUGGGGAAUCUUGGACAAUGGGCGCAAGCCUGAUCCAGCCAUGCCGCGUGAGUGAUGAAGGCCCGUAGGGUCGUAAAGCUCUUUCGCCAGGGAUGAUAAUGACAGUACCUGGUAAAGAAACCCCGGCUAACUCCGUGCCAGCAGCCGCGGUAAUACGGAGGGGUUAGCGUUGUUCGGAAUUACUGGGCGUAAAGCGCGCGUAGGCGGACUGGAAAGUUGGGGUGAAAUCCCGGGGCUCAACCCCGGAACUGCCUCCAAAACUCCCAGUCUUGAGUUCGAGAGAGGUGAGUGGAAUUCCGAGUGUAGAGGUGAAAUUCGUAGAUAUUCGGAGGAACACCAGUGGCGAAGGCGGCUCACUGGCUCGAUACUGACGCUGAGGUGCGAAAGUGUGGGAGCAAACAGGAUUAGAUACCCUGGUAGCGACUGA
rnacentral:rRNA from 1 species